UCCCUGGUGGCUCAGACGGUAAAGCGUCUGCCUACAAUGCAGGAGACCCAGGUUAAUCCCUGGGUUGGGAA
rnacentral:tRNA from 1 species